rnacentral:lncRNA from 1 species
AAAGCGCUGGGAUUACAGGUGUGAGCCACCAUGCCUGGCCAAGAGGUAUUUUAAAGGCAACAUGAGGAGUUUGUCUUCUGGACACAUGAAAGUCCAAAUGCCCUGGAUCUGAUGUUUGAUAAGAUAUCUUUUCACUAUCCAUAAUUGGAAAGGAAAUUCUGAUGGAGGAAUCAAAUAAAAUUCAUAAUAAACAGGACAUAAUUGAAUGGCAAGGAGAGAGGUAGUCGCCCUUCGACGAAUGUCUGUCUUAGUGCCAGCGCUCUUCUGGAGGCUUAUAGCUGUAGUCAGAUGAGCCCCGCUAUGCCUGGCUUAACUUCAUGAAAGUUUUGUGACAUAAUAAACAAGGUGUGGUGGGAACCAGAGUGAGACUCAGGCUGGUCGAGCCUUGCCUAAGCACUCAGGAACAGGAUCAUGUGAAACAAUACCUUCCCCAGGUCAUGGCUACGUCGGGCAUCAGCACUUUGCUUAUUUCCUGCCAAAGCCCAGAAGGUGGAUAUAUCCAAUGAAGGCUGGCUUGGUUUCUUUUGCACUAACUUGGCUUUACAGAAGGGCCCCAACAAAGGAGGCUCACUCUGAUUGCAGAGGUUGGGGAAGAGAUACUAGAUGGAAGCCCUUCAGGAGGCCCUUGCCAUGA